rnacentral:rRNA from 1 species
AUAGUGUAUAUUAAAGUUGUUGCAGUUAAAAAGCUCGUAGUUGAAUUUUGGACCUGGCUGGGUGGUCUUGCCGCAAGGUUAGCACUGCUCUGGUCGGGUCUUUCUUUCUGGGGAACCUGUGUGCUCUUAAUUGAGUGCGCAGGGGGUCCAGGACUUUUACUUUGAAAAAAUUAGAGUGUUUAAAGCAGGCUUUCGCUUGAAUACAUUAGCAUGGAAUAAUAGAAUAAGACUUUGGUUCUAUUUUGUUGGUUUCUAGGACUGAAGUAAUGAUUAAUAGGGACAGUUGGGGGCAUUAGUAUUUAAUUGUCAGAGGUGAAAUUCUUGGAUUUAUGAAAGACUAACUUCUG